AUGGGAGGGUGCGGCGCUGGCGGGCCGAUCUGCGCCGCCAGGACUCGCCUGACCCGCGGGACGCUCGAUCCGGUGACGCACCAGUCGCCGGUUGUCGGCCCGGCCGACCAACGAGGAGAUCGCAGCACCCUGCACCAUCAUUCUGCCUCAGCUCAUCCUUCCUCUGCGCACCCGAGCUCCUCGAUGUGUGCUGCCUGGGAGGGCUCGAGCUCGCCACUCGACCAGAGCCACACGGCCAUCCGGUCGUCGUUGCACUCGCCGCCCCCUCUGCUCCUCCACCUCAACUUCGGACGCACGUGGGCUGGCAAAUGUCGCCUCCACUCUGCCCCGCCCCUGUGCUUUUUCCUCGAUGGAAAUGCGGGCCACCACGCCGCUCACUUCGCGUGCAACCACUUCAUCUCCAACCUGUCGUUGGAGAGCAUUGCAGACCGAGCGGACAAACGACGAGGUGUAGCAGCACAACCUUGCCUCUUCCCCUUACUCUCCUUCACAAGCGAGCCAAAGACACCCCAAGUUGUGGCACCCAUCUGA
rnacentral:rRNA from 1 species